rnacentral:tRNA from 1 species
CCUGGUGGCUUAGCUGGUAAAGAAUCUGCCUGCAAUUCAGGAAACCUGGGUUCGAUCCCAGGGUCAGGA